rnacentral:rRNA from 1 species
UACGAAGGGGGCUAGCGUUGCUCGGAAUCACUGGGCGUAAAGCGCACGUAGGCGGAUCGCUAAGUCAGGGGUGAAAUCCUGGAGCUCAACUCCAGAACUGCCUUUGAUACUGGCAAUCUCGAGUCCGGGAGAGGUGAGUGGAACUGCGAGUGUAGAGGUGAAAUUCGUAGAUAUUCGCAAGAACACCAGUGGCGAAGGCGGCUCACUGGCCCGUACUGACGCUGAGGUGCGAAAGCGUGGGGAGCAAACAGG